rnacentral:rRNA from 1 species
AACGAAUGCUGGCGGCAUGCCUAACACAUGCAAGUCGAACGAGACCUUCGGGUCUAGUGGCGCACGGGUGCGUAACGCGUGGGAACCUGCCUUUAGGUUCGGAAUAACUCAGAGAAAUUUGAGCUAAUACCGGAUGAUGUCUUCGGACCAAAGAUUUAUCGCCUUUAGAUGGGCCCGCGUUGGAUUAGCUAGUUGGUGGGGUAAAGGCCUACCAAGGCGACGAUCCAUAGCUGGUCUGAGAGGAUGAUCAGCCACACUGGGACUGAGACACGGCCCAGACUCCUACGGGAGGGAGCAGUGGGGAAUAGUGGACAAUGGGCGAAAGCCUGAUCCAGCAAUGCCGCGUGAGUGAUGAAGGCCUUAGGGUUGUAAAGCUCUUUUACCCGAGAUGAUAAUGACAGUAUCGGGAGAAUAAGCUCCGGCUAACUCCGUG